GUCCACGCCGUAAACGAUGGGCACUAGGUGUGGGAGGUGUCGACUCCUCCCGUGCCGUAGCUAACGCACUAAGUGCCCCGCCUGGGGAGUACGGCCGCAAGGCUAAAACUCAAAGGAAUUGACGGGGACCCGCACAAGCAGCGGAGCAUGUGGUUCAAUUCGACGCAACGCGAAGAACCUUACCUGGGCUUGACAUGUGAGUGACCGCCGUGGAAACACGGCUUCCCUUCGGGGCACUUUCACAGGUGGUGCAUGGCUGUCGU
rnacentral:rRNA from 1 species